GUUUCGUAGGACUUUGGGCUAUUCAACGUAGUCGUUGAUUCUUUCGACGCAACAUUGGGGUAUGCAUACAAAGUUGAACGAACAAAUCGAGCGAGUCUUGGUUACCGGAAUAAAUUCACUACAUGGUUUGACAACUGUGUGGAUCAAUGCUGCACAAAGAAAUAUCGAUGAUAGACUGGAGAAAAUACAUUUGCAAACAUUCGAAGAUAGUCCCACACAGGGGUAGGGUCGACUAAUGACUUCACUGCAUGUAAUGGAUGGAUGACGAGCCUGCGACAAUGUCAGUGCAGAGAAAGACGUUGUGGGAGCAGUUCUGGUACCUUUGAAAUAUUUGAUGAUUCAAUUAUUCCCUUUUCAGCAACAUGUUGUUUAGCGUAAUGUUUUUCAAAUUGAUGCAUCAUACAAAUUCUGAUUUUGACAACCGGUGUUGCAAAGUCAACACAUAAUCGAUCUGUGCUAAGUUCAAUUAGCUAUUUAUCCAAGUUAAUUGUAUAUGAUAAAAUGGGUAAUAUUAAUAUUAUCUAUUUUACUGAUUCAUGCUUAACAUAACUGAGCCUAUCGGCAAAUUCAUUUGGAGUUUAUGUGUGUUUCAAAUCAUGUGUCGGACGUGCAUUUACCAUGUGAAUCCAUGCGCUGCUUUUUUGGUAUUUUUUAUUCAUUUUAGCUGUGUUGUUUUAUUCGUUUAUUUUGUUUUUUCUGUGCCUUGUGCCUUUUUUCUGGUGUCAAGUGUUGGUAGUCGGCCAGAGCGGGAAAAGUCGGUAAGAAAAGAAGGAAAGACGAAGACCUAUGUAUUGUACAGUAACAUCGUAACAGACUGAGGGCAAAGCGCCAGUAUUCUUGAGACGACUCCUAUUAUGGCAAUUAUUAAAAUACCCGUUUAAUGUGAAGAAGUAACCCGAAACUUUAACCUGCGCUUUAUCUGAUUAUUUAGAGAAAUCCAAUUAAAAUGUAUUUGCGUAUGUUAUGCAUACUUGAAAUUGAGUGGGGAAUUUAAUUUUCAAUUAACUACAAAUUCCUUUGGUGCUCCACGAUAUGCGAAACA